rnacentral:rRNA from 1 species
GAUGAACGCUUUCUUCUUUCCUAAUACAUGCAAGUCGAGCGAACGGACGAGAAGCUUGCUUCUCUGAUGUUAGCGGCGGACGGGUGAGUAACACGUGGAUAACCUACCUAUAAGACUGGGAUAACUUCGGGAAACCGGAGCUAAUACCGGAUAAUAUUUUGAACCGCAUGGUUCAAAAGUGAAAGACGGUCUUGCUGUCACUUAUAGAUGGAUCCGCGCUGCAUUAGCUAGUUGGUAAGGUAACGGCUUACCAAGGCAACGAUGCAUAGCCGACCUGAGAGGGUGAUCGGCCACACUGGAACUGAGACACGGUCCAGACUCCUACGGGAGGCAGCAGUAGGGAAUCUUCCGCAAUGGGCGAAAGCCUGACGGAGCAACGCCGCGUGAGUGAUGAAGGUCUUCGGAUCGUAAAACUCUGUUAUUAGGGAAGAACAUAUGUGUAAGUAACUGUGCACAUCUUGACGGUACCUAAUCAGAAAGCCACGGCUAACUACGUG